UAGUGCCAUUAUAAAUAGGACCCCAAGAGCUCCCUCCCCUUCUUUCUGCCAUAUGAGAAUAGGACAAGAGUGUCCCAGUCUGUAAUCUUAAAGAGGGUUCUCACUAGAACCUGACUGUGCUUGCAGCCUGAUUUCAGUUCAGUCUCCACAACUGUGAGGAAUACAUCUUUGUUGUUUAUAAGACAUCCACUGUUAUUCUGUUAUAGCAGCUUGAGCAAGGAGAAAGCCUCCUACCUGAAUGCUUUGAGCUGGGACAUCGGUCUCUUCCUUGCUUCAGUCCAGUACUGAGACAUCAGCUCUUCUCAGUUUCGAGUCACCAGCCUUUGGACCUGCAGCUACACCAUCGACUCUCCUGCUUCUCAGGCCUUUGGACUUGGACUGCAACUCACAUUAUUCAUUCUCCUGGGUCUUUGGCUGGCUGACUGCUAAUCUGCAGACUUAGCCUCUGUAAUCAUAAUAUUGCCACCAGUUCAGCAAGACUCCCAUCACCUCGUUAUGGAUGAGUUUGCUAGCAUGGGAGAUCUGGGUGCCUGCUGCGGGGGCAGAGGAAAGACUGAGGUCCCAGGAGGUCGAUGUUACACCAACUUGGAGAAGAUGUUGUUCUUUGCA